CCGCGGGAGUCGAAGCUCGAGCGCUAGCAGCACCCCGGGGCGUCACCUUGCCCUGAUAGGCCCGGGGCCUGCCACAGGGCUUGGUCGGGUCGGGCCGGGCCUGAGGAGAGCCGGCCUCGCCCCUCGCAGCCGCGCCGCUCAGCCCAGAAGCUACCGACAGAGAUGGGGGCGGGAGGCACGCAUAGCACAGGAAGCCGGAGUCCAAGUCUCUACAGACAGCACAAAAGUACUACACUUCAUGCACCUUUCAAAGGGCCUGCAACAGCAAUGACACCUUCAAACUGUGAAGCAAACUUCAAAUACUACAUGGAAGAUCAUGGCAUUCCUUUCACACAGUCACCACACAGCUGCUACAUUAAAAUGAACUGGUUCGAGAGAAAACCGUUUAAACCAGGACGUUUCAGAAGUUGCAAUGGACAAGUGGACUGCUAUCUACACUGACAGGUAUCAACACAGCAAAGGACUCCACAUCUUUGUUAAAAGCUACCAUGGAACUUAAAGAGGAAGACCUCUGCAAGCAAAGCCCCAGAUAGAUUUACUAAUGGAUUUUUGAGUCCAGGCAGUUAGGUUUUUUUUAAAAAAAAAAAAAAAAAACCUAUCUAUAGCAAAAGUUAUUGAUCUUUUUGUCUCUCAGUCCAAGAGUUCAGGUCAGAGGAAAUGGAUCUUCCCAUUGUUACAUAAGUUUUUUUUAGUUUUGGAAGAGAACACUGAUGUAUAUAUAUUGAGAACUUGUAUACGUUGGAUACAGAAUGGAUGAUCCACGCUACUGGGUAAAGGUGUGUAGGCCUCAUUAACUAUGUGUUUAUUUUGAGCAAUGCUCUGACAAACUGAUACAUGUCUAGAAACAGCUAGUCUGCUCUGAGACCGGAGCUAUGUGCUCCAGAAGUCAGAGUGCCCUGACCAAUAUUUCAUCAAGACAUGUACCUGUAUCUACUCAUAAUUAGGGCGAGUUAGCUAAAGUUUUCAAGCUUUUUAACCCAUAUGAUGGUAAAGCCAGUUUAGGACGAAUUGCACCUGAGGUCCACAUUAAGCAUAUCUGUGCUUGUUUCACUGCAAUAAGUAACUACAGGUCAGCAUUAGGCACAAGCAAGGAAAGUAAUGGACACGGCAGUCCUGCUGCCAAGUCCUAUGGUGACCCAGAGUAAGCCAUAAGUGGACUCGGUUGUUCCCUCUGACAGCAGGAUCUCACCAUCAUGUGUCCCUUCCACCCUGGCUCUUUGAGUAAGCAAACCCUCAGGCCAGUCAUGUGCUGUAUAUGAGCAAGGUUAGACUUACACAGCUGCAUAGAGGCCUCCCACUGCUGAGUGAAUGAAUCCUCUCACAAUUGUGUGCAAAAUGAAGGAAAGGAUCUGAAAGAAGCAGAAAAAAUGCUGAAUAGCAGUCCAAAACCACCACUCCACCUCUGCACCUGCUGCUCCUCCAGUUCCUGGACAGGCCUAAGCAGCUCCAGAAACGAAGCUCCCUCACACACUAGGGUCAGCGCAAGAAGAGACAGACAGUUUGAGAUGAUGGCACAUUGCGCUUUCUGAACCUGACUUAUCUUUUUCUCUUGAAAAUUGUUACAUGUCAGCUGAGAUGUUGACAAUUGCAGCAGAAGAGCAAUCUGGUUUAAAGGUUCCAUAUAAUAGAAGCAUAUGGAUUACACUCUCGGAUCUAGCUAGCUAACAUGGCCUGAUCCUAUCUACUUCAAUGGGCUUUAGAUCAGCCUUCUGGUACUCCUCAUGGCUGAAUGCCACUUACAAUUAAGAUCUUUCUUCCUCUUCUCUUUAGUCAGAACUGUGGUCCAGCAAGUCAGUACCCUCUCCCCAACACUAAGAAACAGGACACCACGCCCUAAUCUUCUGUUAACAUUAUCAUGUUUGUACCCUAGAAUGCUUUCACCCCAAGUUCCUAACUCUGCCUGGAAUUUGUUCCCAGUUACAGUUCCCCUUUCUGCCAAUGAGUAUAUCCCACACUUCAGUCUGUCUGCAGAAGGGAGGUUGCUGUUCUGAAAGUGUAUCCUCGGGUUUUACAAUGGUUCAGGUUCUUCCGUUACUGGAAAUGCCAAAUUUCAACAGAGCAGACAGAUCUGCAUGCCUGCUCUCUCCUUAGCUUUAUUCACUCACUUCCAGCUUGAUCCUCUCUAACAGCUUUGAGAGAAAAAUAAAAAAGCAUUCAGUGUGUGCGAGGGGAGGUGAGGAGAGGAGCAGCUGGCAUCCUCCCAGUGCAUUUUGUGCUAUAGAAACGUAGGGUUGGAUGGAAACUCGAGAGGUCAUCAAAGUCCUGUCUCCUGAUGUCUCAUGCCUCUUCCAGGUGCAUACCACAGGCCAAACAUUUACAUAUGUAUAACCCCACUGACACUAAAGGGUGUAACUGAGGACAACAUUUGGCCCACGACUUGAACUGUGGAGUCUGUGCAGGUAUCAAAACUUUACAGAUUUUCUAGGAACCUCCUGCUUAUCUGUAGCUCAGACUUGGAUUAAUAAAAGGCACUACUGACAAGAGUUGGUGCUCUAGGCCUAAAUCUCAGGGUUUAUUUAUUUUAUAUGAAAGUGUGUGUUUAUUUGCAAGUAUGAGGACUAUAAAGGCCUGAAAACAUGAACACAGUACAGACCAACUCAGUGACAUCUGCCUGA